rnacentral:ncRNA from 2 species
AAGAAUUCACAUGACUGACGGAAUUGUGGAAUUAACCACAAGGGAGUGUGGAAAUUUAUUGAAAGCCGACCGUCUGGGCAAAUGUC